ensembl:lncRNA
GGUGUCAGGGUCUGUGUACCUAUAGUUAAGGUAGAGGUUGUCAGGGUCUUUGUAUCUAUAGUUAAGGUAGAGGUUGUCAGGGUCUGUGUACCUAUAGUUAAGGUAAAGGUUGUCAGGGUCUGUGUACCUAUAGUUAAGGUAAAGGUUGUCAGGGUCUAUGUACCUAUGGUUAAGGUAGAGGUUGUCAGGGUCUGUGUACCUAUAGUUAAGGUAAAGGUUGUCAGGGUCUGUGUACCUAUAGUUAAGGUAAAGGUUGUCAGGGUGUGUGUAGCUAUAGUUAAGGUAGAGGUUGUCAGGGUCUGUGUAGCUAUAGUUAAGGUAGAGGUUGUCAGGGUCUGUGUACCUAUAGUUAAGGUAGAGGUUGUCAGGGUCUGUGUACCUAUAGUUAAGGUAGAGGUUGUCAG